rnacentral:rRNA from 1 species
UCCAGAGGUGGCAAGCGUUGUUCGGAAUUACUGGGCGUAAAGGGCGCGUAGGCGGCCUACUAAGUCAGACGUGAAAUCCCCCGGCUUAACCUGGGAACUGCGUCUGAUACUGGAAGGCUUGAGGAUGGGAGAGGGAUGUAGAAUUCCAGGUGUAGCGGUGAAAUGCGUAGAUAUCUGGAGGAAUACCGGUGGCGAAGGCGGCAUCCUGGACCAUUACUGACGCUGAGGCGCGAAAGCUAGGGGAGCAAACGGG